UGGGGAAUUGGCAUUAAACCAAGAAAUGAUUUAUGGUUGCAGCAUUUCGAAGACAGGACAUACCCAAGGGCCAGUCUGACCGCUUCUUCUCAGGUUCUCUCCAGCUAGAAUUCUGUCAUCAGUCAUCAAUCGUGAGAAAAUGAGACUUCAAUUGGAAGUGGGCAUUUCCAUAGUGAACUGUUCAAUGUCGAAACCAAAACCCCACAACUUUAGAU
rnacentral:lncRNA from 1 species